ACUUCCUGGACAAAACUGGCUCUCACGGCUACGACAUGUCCACGUUCAUCAGACGCUACAGCCGCUAUCUCAAUGAGAAAGCCUUCGCCUACAGACAGAUGGCUUUUGACUUUGGCCGAGUCAAGAAAGGGGCUGAGGGAGUGAUGAGGACCAUGUCAGUGGAGAAGCUGUUGAAAGGGAUGCCCACCCUGCAGAGCCAGAUCGACGCACU